rnacentral:tRNA from 1 species
GAUCCGGUAGCUCAGUUGGCAGAGCAACUGCCUUUUAAGCAGUGGGUCCGGGGUUCGAAUCCCCGCCGGGUCA